rnacentral:rRNA from 1 species
AUACGAAGGUCCCAAGCGUUAUUCGGAAUCACUGGGCGUAAAGAGUACGUAGGCGGUUUGGUAAGUCAGGUGUGAAAUCCCGGAGCUCAACUCCGGAACUGCAUCCGAUACUGCCAGACUUGAGUAAUCGAGAGGCAGGUGGAAUUCUCGGUGUAGCAGUGAAAUGCGUGGAUAUCGAGAGGAAGACCAAUGGCGAAGGCAGCCUGCUGGACAUUUACUGACGCUGAGGUACGAAGGCUAGGGGAGCGAAAGGAAUUAGAAACCCCAGUAGUCC